rnacentral:rRNA from 1 species
GCUUAACACAUGCAAGUCGAGCGAGGAUUUCGGUCCUAGCGGCGGACGGGUGAGUAACGCGUGGGAACGUGCCCUUUGCUUCGGAAUAGCCCUGGGAAACCGGGAGUAAUACCGGAUACGCUCUAAGGGUGAAGGAUUUAUCGCCCCUGGAUGGGCCCGCGUUGGAUUAGCUAGUUGGUGGGGUAAAGGCCUACCAAGGCUACGAUCCAUAGCUGGUCUGAGAGGAUGAUCAGCCACACUGGGACUGAGACACGGCCCAGACUCCUACGGGAGGCAGCAGUGGGGAAUCUUGGACAAUGGGCGCAAGCCUGAUCCAGCCAUGCCGCGUGUGUGAUGAAGGCCUUAGGGUUGUAAAGCACUUUCGCCAGGGAAGAUAAUGACGGUACCUGGAUAAGAAGCCCCGGCUAACUCCGUGCCAGCAGCCGCGGUAAUAC